ACGCUCGACACCUACGGGAGGCAGCAGUGGGGGAUAUUGCACAAUGGGGGAAACCCUGAUGCAGCAACGCCGCGUGAGGGAAGAAGGUUUUCGGAUUGUAAACCUCUGUCCCCGGGGAAGAUAAUGACGGUACCCGGGGAGGAAGCUCCGGCUAACUACGUGCCACAGCCGCGGUAAUCUGAGCGGCUGGCAAGGC
rnacentral:rRNA from 1 species